AUUCAAGGGUGCGAGGCCAGCAGCUUAGGCUGCGAAGCAAUCGGAAGUGGUUCCAGGAAAAGCCUCUAAGCUUCAGUUCAACAAGACCGUACCGCAAACCGACACAGGUGGGCGAGAUGAGUAUUCUAAGGCGCUUGAGAGAACUCGGGAGAAGGAACUCGGCAAAUUGGUACCGUAACUUCGGGAUAAGGUACGCCCCUGUAGCUUGACUGGCCUGCGCCAGAAGGGUGAAGGGGUUGCAAUAAACUGGUGGCUGCGACUGUUUAAUAAAAACACAGCACUCUGCAAACACGAAAGUGGACGUAUAGGGUGUGACGCCUGCCCGGUGCCGGAAGAUUAAAUGAUGGGGUGCAAGCUCCUGAUUGAAGUCCCGGUAAACGGCGGCCGUAACUAUAACGGUCCUAAGGUAGCGAAAUUCCUUGUCGGGUAAGUUCCGACCUGCACGAAUGGCGUAACGAUGGCCACACUGUCUCCUCCCGAGACUCAGCGAAGUUGAAGUGUUUGUGAUGAUGCAAUCUCCCCGCGGCUAGACGGAAAGACCCCAUGAACCUUUACUGUAGCUUUGCAUUGGACUUUGAACCGGUCUGUGUAGGAUAGGUGGGAGGCUGUGAAGCGUGAACGCCAGUUUGCGUGGAGCCAUCCUUGAAAUACCACCCUGAUCUGUUUGAGGUUCUAACCCUGGUCCGUGAAUCCGGAUCGGGGACAGUGCAUGGUAGGCAGUUUGACUGGGGCGGUCUCCUCCCAAAGUGUAACGGAGGAGUACGAAGGUACGCUAGGUACGGUCGGAAAUCGUGCUGAUAGUGCAAUGGCAUAAGCGUGCUUAACUGCGAGACCGACAAGUCGAGCAGGUGCGAAAGCAGGUCAUAGUGAUCCGGUGGUUCUGUAUGGAAGGGCCAUCGCUCAACGGAUAAAAGGUACUCUGGGGAUAACAGGCUGAUACCGCCCAAGAGUUCAUAUCGACGGCGGUGUUUGGCACCUCGAUGUCGGCUCAUCUCAUCCUGGGGCUGUAGCCGGUCCCAAGGGUAUGGCUGUUCGCCAUUUAAAGAGGUACGUGAGCUGGGUUUAAAACGUCGUGAGACAGUUUGGUCCCUAUCUGCCGUGGGCGCUGGAUAUUUGAAGGGGGCUGCUCCUAGUACGAGAGGACCGGAGUGGACGAACCUCUGGUGUACCGGUUGUCACGCCAGUGGCAUCGCCGGGUAGCUAUGUUCGGAAGAGAUAACCGCUGAAAGCAUCUAAGCGGGAAACUCGCCUUAAGAUGAGAUAUCCCCGGGGCUUCGAGCCCCUUGAAGGGUCGUUCAAGACCAGGACGUUGAUAGGUCAGGUGUGUAAGCGCAGUAAUGCGUUCAGCUAACUGAUACUAAUUGCCCGUAAGGCUUGAUCCU
rnacentral:rRNA from 1 species